UACGUAGGGCGCAAGCGUUGUCCGGAAUUAUUGGGCGUAAAGAGCUCGUAGGCGGUUUGUCGCGUCUGUCGUGAAAGCCCACGGCUUAACCGUGGGUCUGCGGUGGAUACGGGCAGACUAGAGGCAGGUAGGGGAGAAUGGAAUUCCCGGUGUAGCGGUGAAAUGCGCAGAUAUCAGGAAGAACACCCGUGGCGAAGGCGGCUCUCUGGAACGCAACUGACGCUGAGACGCGAAAGCGUGGGGAGCAAACAGG
rnacentral:rRNA from 1 species